rnacentral:piRNA from 1 species
UGAUUUUUAACAGGUUAUUCUCAGC